GACGAACGCUGGCGGCGUGCUUAACACAUGCAAGUCGAACGAGUGGGAACGGGUGAGUAACACGUGGGUAACCUCCCAUCAGAGGGGAUAACACUUGGAAACAGGUGCUAAACCGAUACUGCUGGAUGGACACGCGGUGCAUUAGCUAGUUGGUGAGGUAACGGCUCACCAAGGCCACGAUGCAUAGACGACCUGAGAGGGUGAUCGGCCACACUGGUACUGAGACACGGCCCAGACGCCUACGGGAGGCAGCAGUAGGGAAUUGUCGGCAAUGGACGAAAGUCUGCCCGAGCAACGCCGCGUGAGUGAAGAAGGUUUUCGGAUCGCAAACCUCUGUUGUUAGAGAAGCGGUAUCUAACCAGAAAGCCACGGCUAACUACGUGCCAGCAGCCGCGGUAAUAC
rnacentral:rRNA from 1 species